AUGGCCACGGUCCGGGACUCAGCCAUUGUGCUGAUUUUGCUUUUCAUCUCCUGCUGCGAAGCCCAAGUGGUUCAGAGCCCCGAGUCGCUGGUUACUGGGGAAGGGAAGGUCUCCACCAUGUCCUGCUCUUUCACCAGCGCUUACCAAACCUUCUACUGGUACCAGCAGCUCCCUGGGCAAGGGCCGGUUCACCUGCUCACCGCGAGCUCUACUGAGAAUGUCACUGUGGGUCGGUUCCUAGGCGAGCGCCUGGAAGAUGGGAAACGCAGCUCCCUGCACAUCACCGACUCCCAGCUGGGGGACUCAGGCAGCUACCUCUGCGGAGAGGUGGACGCGAAGGUUUCUCAGCCUGCUGCGCUGUCUUUCCUAGCGGGGGGCAGGGCUGACCUCCCCUGUAACCACAGUGUCGCUGCCUACGACAGAGUUAUUUGGUACUAUCAGAGCCCCGGAGCUGCCCCUCGAGCUGUGAUCUCUGGCUACAACUCCGCGGAGACGUCGGAGCGGUUUGAACUGUCCAUUGACCCCUCCAGCCGGUCCGCUCCGCUGCGCAUCACCAAGGUGGCGGUGGAGGACUCGGGGGUGUAUUACUGCGCCGUGAGAGGCACAGCGAGAGGAAAUGCAGGGUGA